AUUGAACGCUGGCGGCAGGCCUAACACAUGCAAGUCGAGCGAGCGGCGGACGGGUGAGUAAUGUCUGGGAAACUGCCUGAUGGAGGGGGAUAACUUCUGGAGACGGUAGCUAAUACCGCAUACCAUCAGAUGGGCCAAGAUGGGAUUAGCUAGUAGGUGGGGUAACGGCUCACCUAGGCGACGAUCCCGCGCUGGUCUGAGAUGAUGACCCGCCACACCUGAACGGUGACACGGGCCAGACUCCUACGGGAGGCAGCAGAGGGGCAUAUGGCACAAUGGGCGCAAGCCUGAUGCAGCCAUGCCGCGUGUGUGAAGAAGGCCUUCGGGGUGUAAAGCACUUUCAGCGGGGAGGCGUUACCCGCAGAAGAAGCACCGGCUAACUCCGUGCCAGCAGCCGCGGUAAUAC
rnacentral:rRNA from 1 species